UCGGGAAUCUUGCACAAUGGGCGAAGGCCUGAUGCAGCAACACCGUGUGAGCGAGGAAGGCCUUCGGGUCGUAAAGCUCUGUUGUUGGGGACGAAGGGCGAAGGGUUAAUAGCCCCUAGCCUGACGGUACCCUUCGAGGAAGCCCCGGCUAACUACGUGCCAGCAGCCGCGGUAAUACGUAGGGGGCGAGCGUUGUCCGGAAUUAUUGGGCGUAAAGAGCGUGUAGGCGGCCCGGAAAGUCCGCCGUGAAAACGUGGGGGUCAAGCCUGGGCGUGGGGUGGAUACUGCUGGGCUAGAGGAUGGUAGAGGCGAGUGGAAUUCCCUGUGUAGCGGUGAAAUGCGCAGAGAUCGGGAGGAACACCAGUAGCGAAGGCGGCUCGCUGGGCCAUUCCUGACGCUGAGACGCGAAAGCAUGGGGAGCGAACAGGAUUAGAUACCCGCGUAGUCC
rnacentral:rRNA from 1 species